rnacentral:rRNA from 1 species
UACAGAGGGUGCGAGCGUUAAUCGGAAUUACUGGGCGUAAAGCGUGCGUAGACGGUUUUGUAAGUCGGAUGUGAAAUCCCCCGGGCUCAACCUGGGAAUUGCAUUCGAGACUGCAAGGCUUGGGUGCGGAAGAGGGAAGCGGAAUUUCCGGUGUAGCGGUGAAAUGCGUAGAUAUCGGAAGGAACAUCAGUGGCGAAAGCGGCUUCCUGGUCCAGCACCGACGUUCAGGCACGAA